UACAGAGGUCCCAAGCGUUGUUCGGAAUCACUGGGCGUAAAGCGCACGUAGGCGGAUCUUUAAGUCAGGGGUGAAAUCCCGAGGCUCAACCUCGGAACUGCCUUUGAUACUGGAGAUCUCGAGUCCGGGAGAGGUGAGUGGAACUGCGAGUGUAGAGGUGAAAUUCGUAGAUAUUCGCAAGAACACCAGUGGCGAAGGCGGCUCACUGGCCCGGUACUGACGCUGAGGUGCGAAAGCGUGGGAGCAACAGG
rnacentral:rRNA from 1 species